GGGGGGGGGGUUGGGGGGGGUGGGGGGGGUGGGUGCCGGGGGCCAGGGCCCCCGGCGCCCCCGCGAGCCGCGGACCCACUGCGCCCCAAGCUGCCCGGCUACCUCUUCGCACACCUUCCGGCCUCGCCGCUCCCCUUCUUUUCUCCAUUCCAGUCGCGCCCAUGUGCAUCCCCUCUUGCACCACGGCUCCUCUCCGCCCCCCUCUGCGCCCCUUCUCUCCCCGCCCUCGUUGGCGUUGGGGAGUUGGGGGCAGGCUCCACUGCCUGUCCCAGCUUCGCCCAGCUCGGAGCCUGCUCCGGGUCUCGGGGGGCGGGGCGGGUGGUACGGGAGGAGGUGUGGCACCAGGAGGGUGAAUGGGGGUCGUCUCUGCUUAGACCCUGGGACCGUCCUCCAUGUGCCCCUGUCGUCCGCAGGCAGCUCCGGGGUGGGGGGCAGCCCGUGCCCUGAGCGGUGGCCCUCUCUGAGCCUUGCCUGCCUCUCAGUCUCCCACCAUGAAGAGCUUGGUGUGAUCCUUCCAACGUGAUCCUGUUCCUGUCCCUACGUUUGUGUCUUGAUUUGUCUUAUGAACUGGAAUUGUACUUUGAUACUGUUCUGCUCUUCAGUAUUUUCUAGUGAAGCAGCAUGAAAUGGGCUAGUUAAAAUAUGUUACCACGGAGCACAAUUUAUACAGGAAGACAUUUUUCCCAGGUGGCUGGGAAAUUGUUGGCGUUGGCACCUUUGGUCCGUCCACGUGCAGCUGACGCCUCUUGGGAGCUUAAGUACGGUGACCAGGCACUCAGCGAGCAGAGGCAGGAAACCACAUUCUCAUCUUCGAAGAGUCUCCUUGUUUCCCUAACUGAUGUGUGUUCAUUCGUUUCCCUGCCUGCCUCGAAACCUCCAGGGGUGGCAGGCCUGGCGUGCCUUUCUUCUCUUGGCUCUCCCCAUGUCCUCCGUACGUCCCGGAAGAAUUGGAAUCCUGGCUCUGCCCUCAGCUAGCUAUGGUGCCCGGCCUUGAAAAUGGUCCCCGGCGAUCUACUUCCGGGGAUCCACACCCUAGCAGAGUUCCCCCCAUGUGUGCUGGGCGCCUUUGUGUGACCAGUAAGUGCAGGAGAAGUGAGGUAGAUCCUUUGGCAAUUGGGGUGUAAAAGUCAUUGUGGAUUCUAUGCUGGUGUGCUCUCUUUCUCUGGAAUCAUUCACUCUGGGAAAGCCGGCUGUCAUAGCAUAGGGAUACUCGGGAAAGCUCUGUGGAGGGGCCCCAUGGUGAGGAACUGAGGCCUCCACCAUAUCUGAGUGAAUGGGCCACCUGGAAGUGGUCCCGCCUGUCCUCGUCAAGCCUUCAGAUGACUCAGCCUUUGCUGAUGUCUCGACUGCACAUUCCUGAGAGACCCUGAGCCGGAACCACCCGGCCAAGCUGCUCCUGGCUUCCCCGACCCACAGAAACCAUGAGAUCAUAAAGGUGCAGAACACUCAAAGUUCGGACAAGUAGAGGCUGGACGGUCUAACGCAUAGUCUCUGGCAUAUGGAUAUCAAGAUCCAGGCUGUGGCUCUACAAGACCUAGGGCCAGUUACAGAGCUCAGAAUCCCUCAGCUUCCUCAUCUGAAAAGUGGGGCAGUACUAGCAAGGAUACUUGUUCAGAGAUUAGGCAUGAAAAUUCUUUACUAAGAGUAAGUGCUGGCUCACGUUAGCAGCUAUCACUGCUAUUCAAGAAUUAAUUCUCGUUAGUGGGAUUAUGGAUUAAUUUAUCUAAUUAGUCUCUGUACUGUCUAAAUUGCUAUUAAAAAAUAAACGUAUUUCUUUUGGGAGUAGAAGGUUAUUUUUAUUUAUUAUGUAAUUAACAUUUUUUUUUAAAAUGUUUAUAUUUGAGAGCGAGUGAGAGCGAGCAAGCAGGGGAGGGGCAGAGAGAGGAAGAGAGCGUGAAUCUCAAGCAGGCUUGGCGCUGUCAGGGAUGCUGGGCUCAGGUCCACGAACUGUGAGAUGACCUGAGCUGAAGUCAGAGCCCAACCGACUGAGCCCAGGCGCCCCAGAAAAGGUUACUUAAAAGUAUGCAACCUGAGGUGACGAAGAUGAUUCUGAUUUUUUUUUAAGAC